rnacentral:rRNA from 1 species
UACGUAGGGUGCAAGCGUUUGUCCGGAAUUAUUGGGCGUAAAGAGCUCGUAGGCGGUUUGUCGCGUCUGCUGUGAAAACCCGGGGCUCAACCCCGGGCCUGCAUUCGAUACGGGCAGACUAGAGUUCGGUAGGGGAGUCUGGAAUUCCUGGUGUAGCGGUGAAAUGCGCAGAUAUCAGGAGGAACACCGGUGGCGAAGGCGGGACUCUGGGCCGAUACUGACGCUGAGGAGCGAAAGCGUGGGGAGCAAACAGG